CACGUAGGGCGCAAGCGUUGUCCGGAAUCAUUGGGCGUAAAGCGCGCGUAGGUGGCUUCGUAAGUCCGUUGUGAAAGUCAAAGGCUCAACCUUUGAAAGCCGAUGGAUACUGUGAAGCUAGAGUACGGAAGAGGCGAGUGGAAUUCCUGGUGUAGCGGUGGAAUGCGCAGAUAUCACUUGGAACGCCAAUGGUGAAGACAGCUCGCUGGGGGUGUCCUGACGCUGAGGCGCGAAAGCCAGGGGAGCGAACGGG
rnacentral:rRNA from 1 species